AAGGAUAGGUGGACUUUGAAUUGUUUCUGGAGCGGCAUUUCUGGUUUUGCAAAGAUUUGUAAGGAGCCUGGGCAGGAGGAGAUAAGCCAAUGUAUCUGCCUAUUGAACCUACAGUUAAAAAUAAUUAUAAAGAACAUGGUGAUGCUUCAGAAACUGUCAGGAUCUUUACUCUUUGUCAGGCAGCCCUGAGACAUCAUUGAGAAGAAGGUGCCGGAACCACAGAUAUU